GACGAACGCUGGCGGCGUGCUUAACACAUGCAAGUCGAACGGUGAAGCGCCUUCCUUUUUGGUGGGUGUGGAUGAGUGGCGAACGGGUGAGUAACACGUGAGUAACCUGCCCCCUUCUUCUGGAUAACCGCAUGAAAGUGUGGCUAAUACGGGAUAUUCUGGGUCUGUCGCAUGAUGGGUCUGGGAAAGAUAUUGUUUCGGUGGGGGAUGGGCUCGCGGCCUAUCAGCUUGUUGGUGGGGUGAUGGCCUACCAAGGCGGUGACGGGUAGCCGGCCUGAGAGGGUGGACGGUCACACUGGGACUGAGACACGGCCCAGACUCCUACGGGAGGCAGCAGUGGGGAAUAUGGCACAAUGGGCGCAAGGCUGAUGCAGCGACGCCGCGUGAGGGAUGGAGGCCUUCGGGUUGUGAACCUCUUUCGCCAGUGAAGCAGGCCUGCCUCGUUUGUGGGUGGGUUGACGGUAGCUGGAUAAGAAGCGCCGGCUAACUACGUG
rnacentral:rRNA from 1 species